UACGGAGGAUGCAAGCGUUAUCCGGAAUGAUUGGGCGUAAAGCGUCCGCAGGUGGCUGCUCAAGUCUGCUGUCAAAGACCGGGGCUUAACUUCGGAAAGGCAGUGGAAACUGAACAGCUAGAGUAUGGUAGGGGCAGAGGGAAUUCCUGGUGUAGCGGUGAAAUGCGUAGAGAUCAGGAAGAACAUCGGUGGCGAAGGCGCUCUGCUGGACCAGAACUGACACUCAGGGACGAAAGCGAGGGGAGCGAAUGGG
rnacentral:rRNA from 1 species